rnacentral:rRNA from 1 species
GACGAACGCUGGCGGCGUGCCUAAUACAUGCAAGUCGAGCGAAUGGAUGGGAGCUUGCUCCCUGAAGUUAGCGGCGGACGGGUGAGUAACACGUGGGCAACCUGCCUGUAAGACUGGGAUAACUUCGGGAAACCGGAGCUAAUACCGGAUACAUUCUUUCUUCGCCUGAAGAAAGAUGGAAAGAUGGUUUCGGCUAUCACUUACAGAUGGGCCCGCGGCGCAUUAGCUAGUUGGUGAGGUAACGGCUCACCAAGGCAACGAUGCGUAGCCGACCUGAGAGGGUGAUCGGCCACACUGGGACUGAGACACGGCCCAGACUCCUACGGGAGGCAGCAGUAGGGAAUCUUCCGCAAUGGACGAAAGUCUGACGGAGCAACGCCGCGUGAGCGAAGAAGGCCUUCGGGUCGUAAAGCUCUGUUGUUAGGGAAGAACAAGUACCAGAGUAACUGCUGGUACCUUGACGGUACCUAACCAGGAAGCCACGGCUAACUACGUGCCAGCCGCCGCGGUAAGAC